rnacentral:rRNA from 1 species
CCAAAGGGUGACCCAGCAACGCCGCGUGGAGGAUGAAUGCCGUAAGGUUGUAAACUCCUGUUAGAGGGGAAGAAAAAUCUCGAUCAAAUCGGGAACUGACUGUACCCUCAGAGAAAGCCCCGGCUAACUACGUGCCAGCAGCCGCGGUAAUACGUAGGGGGCAAGCGUUGUCCGGAUUCACUGGGUGUAAAGGGCGCGCAGGCGGGUUAGCAAGUCAGAGGUGAAAUCCUACAGCUUAACUGUAGAACUGCCUUUGAGACUGCUAAUCUUGAGUACGGAAGAGAGAGAUGGAAUUCCAGGUGUAGUGGUGAAAUACGUAGAUAUCUGGAAGAACACCAGUGGCGAAGGCGGUCUCUUGGUCCUAUACUGACGCUAAGGCGCGAAAGCGUGGGGAGCAAACAGGAUUAGAUACCCUGGUAGUCCACGCUGUAAACGAUGAAUACUAGGUGUCGGAUCGAAAGGUUCGGUACCGAAGCUAACGCAUUAAGUAUCCAAC